rnacentral:rRNA from 1 species
GUCCUAUUGAUUAUAAUAUUAGGUCUAACCUGCUCAAUGAAGAAUUUUUAAAUGGCCGCAGUAUUUUAACUGUGCAAAGGUAGCAUAAUAAUUUGUCUUUUAAUUGGAGGCUUGAAUGAAUGGUUGGAUGAAAUAUUGACUUUUUUUAUUUAAAUUUUUUGAAUUUAAUUUUUUAGUUAAAAAGCUAAAAUUUAUUUGUAAGACGAGAAGACCCUAUAGAAUUUUAUUUUUGUUUAGUAUUGAGUUAUUAAGAAUUUAUAAAGAUUUAUUAUUAAGCAAUAAUUUUGUUGGGGUGACAAUGAAAUUUAAUUAACUUUCAUUUUUUAUGAAACAUUGAUUUAUGUGUUUAAUGAUCCUGAAUUUUGGAUUAUAAGAUUAAAUUACCUUAGGGAUAACAGCGUUAUUUUUUUGGAGAGUUCAUAUCGAUAAAAUAAGUUUGCGACCUCGAUGUUGGAUUAAAAUAAGUAUUAGGCGCAGGAGUUUAAUUACUAAGUCUGUUCGACUUUUAAAAUUUUACA